ACUACAAAAGUUUCCCCACUCCCCCACUUUCCAGCUGGUAAUAGCUCACCUUUCUUGAUCACUCUUGUUACAGUCUGCAUGGUACCGCCCAUUGUUUCAUGUUCUCUUUGUACAUAAAAUUUCCCCACCAUAUUUUCCACUUUAUGCAUCCUAUGAACAUGAAGUGAGCUGUAGCUCACGAAAGCUUAUGCUCUAAUAAAUUUGUUAGUCUCUAAGGUGCCACAAGUACUCCUUUUCUUUUUGCGAAUACAGACUAACACGGCUGCUACUCUGAAA